rnacentral:misc_RNA from 1 species
GAAUAAGAUGGAUCAAUUAACCAUUUGCUGCCUGAAUUGCCAUCUUCAAGUGCAAAGCUUUCAGAUUGUACUAAUGAUAUGGCAGUCUCCACUCCCUUAAUUCCAGGAUAAACUGGAGGUGAGUUUUCAACCAAGUUCAUCAUCUCUUUUUGAUAGAUCUGAUGAUGUGAGUCUGCACUAAAUGGAGAAUAUAGUGAAGAGUCAUAUAGAACACUAGAGAUGAAGGGUUCUGGCUCCAAGAAG